CGAGGAAUAUUGGACAAUGGGCGCAAGCCUGAUCCAGCCAUGCCGCGUGCAGGAUGAAGGUCCUAUGGAUUGUAAACUGCUUUUAUACGGGAAGAAACCACUCUACGUGUAGAGUACUGACGGUACUGUAAGAAUAAGGAUCGGCUAACUCCGUGCCAGCAGCCGCGGUAAUACGGAGGAUCCAAGCGUUAUCCGGAAUCAUUGGGUUUAAAGGGUCCGUAGGCGGCCCUGUAAGUCAGUGGUGAAAUCUCACGGCUCAACCGUGAAAUUGCCAUUGAUACUGCAGGGCUUGAAUUACCAGGAAGUAACUAGAAUAUGUAGUGUAGCGGUGAAAUGCUUAGAUAUUACAUGGAAUACCGAUUGCGAAGGCAGGUUACUACUGGUGGAUUGACGCUGAUGGACGAAAGCGUGGGUAGCGAACAGGAUUAGAUACCCUGGUAGUCCACGCCGUAAACGAUGGAUACUAGCUGUUGGACAGCAAUGUUCAGUGGCUAA
rnacentral:rRNA from 1 species